UCUAUCUCUCUAUCUUUUAUUGUUCUCUAUGAGAAAAUAGGGAAGAGUGGAAUUAAAUAUAUACAUAAAGCAAGGACAAGAAAAACAGCUGUACAUAGGAGGAAUCCAUUCAUCAUGUUAUAACACAAUGUCAGAAAUACCAAAGGGAGAGAGAAGUAAUGAUUAAAAAGUUGAGAGACAUUGAUGAGGAAUUGGAGUUGGUAGAUGUAUUGUGGAAGAACCGGAGUGAGUGUUACAAGAUAUUACUUCAGUUUCUUAAAACCACAAAGUUGAUUGGAAUGAUAUUAUUACAUGUCAUUUAGCAGACGCUUUUAUCCAAAGCGACUUACUGGCUGAUGUAUAUACAUACAUAGGAUGUGUGUGUGUGUGUGUGUAUGAAUAUAGGUGUAUGUAUAUGUAUGCAUAUAUAGUUUUUUUUGUGUGUGUUUUGUAGUAUGCAGAAAAAUUAUUGUCAGCUUGAUUUAAUUUUUUUUAUGUUUUUAAAGUUUUAAACUGUUUUUAUUUCUAUAGGCUACUUGAUUUUUUUUAAUUGAUUUAGUUUUAAUUUCCAAUGUAUUUACUUGCUUCUGUAAAGCACUAUGAAUUGCCUUGUGUAAGAAUGGAACUAUACAAAUAAACCUUCCUUGCCUAUGUAUAUCUGUAUAUAUUAAAUUAUUAUUUAUUUUAUUAUUUUUACUUUUAAGUAAUAGUUCAGUUAGAUCAACAUUUCGAUUCCCACUCCAUACCAGAUGGUGGCGGUAAUGCACCAACCACACCUGCACAGGUGUUCUUCGAUCAGCUGAUGACCGCUGAUUGCUUCCUCCUCCUCUUCUUAUUUAAUCUUCCUACAGCCAAUAGUUCCGCGAUGGUACUUUGAAGAGGAGCUGCACGAGCCGUGACACGAAAGAAAAGACGCGAAGAAAGUGUCGCUGCUUAACUACUGAAACUGUUCCGGGAGGAGGGAACUUGUCGCGGUAAUGCACCAACCGCCCUAAAACCUCAAAUGAGAACCAGGGAACUUUUUAAAAAGAAGAGAAAAGAAGAAAAGAAAACUACCGCGGCGUGACGUCAGACGCCGAGAUGUGGCCGCGUGCAUCAGCUCCAGGAUGGCGUGUUCGACCUGGUCCAGAUUGGUGGCCUGUCCAGAAUGGAACAACCUGCUUCCUGCUCACGGAGACCUGGUCGGACCCGCCAUAUACAAAAGCCUGAGGCUGUCAAAAAAUGGUUGAUCUUCAUGAAGAUCGUCAAAUAGUAAGGUGUCAUGAUUUAAUUCUGGGUGGCCGCCGUGUCCCCACUCUUUCUUGGCCGCUGUGCCUCCACUCUUUCUUGGCCACUGUGCCUAAAUCUAUCUGCAUUUUCCAACAUGGCCACGUUCUUUCUGUUCUCCUGCUUUCCUUCUGUCAAAUAGCUGAGGGUUGUACACGGAGCAUUUGCCACAGGCUGGUUUUGUAUGUUCCUGUCCACCUUACUGGGUGGUCUGAAAUUUGGUCCUUUAAUCUCCAUUAGCCUUAGCACGUUAAAAUAGAUCCUGGUGAUCUACAGUACCUGGCUUUAGAUGGCAGCCCUGCCAUUGCCUUUGUAUGGCCAUACGUCCCUUAAUGCAAGUAGGCCAUGAUCGCUAACUGUGCCCGCGCCUUCGUGGUCUAUUUGUGUUAUUGUACGUGUGGCCUUGCGCGUAUAGUAAUUUUACAUAGGCAAACAUGGGUGCCUUCCGCGUCCAUGCACAGUAAGUGAACUAACCUGUACUUUCCUUCUAGCAUCAGUCAAGAGGAGCACCGACAUCCCUGCAUGUCCAUCCUAAUUAGAUUGCGUUUUAGUUUAGUUCAAAUUUCAAAUGGUUAGUGCAGUUUUUCUUUCUUGCUUGGCCGCCGUGCCAUUACUAUACCUGCUCUGACCUGAAUCUUGAUUCUUCAUGGCCACUGUGUCGUGACUGUACUUAGUCUUGGUGUUUAUGCCAGUCUAUAAUUUCUGAUCUGUUUUUCCUACUACGUUUUCGUGUGUGUGUGUGUGUGAGAUGACUGACUCGAACUGACGUUAAUCUGACCUUUGGACCCAGACUAACACUCCAAUUGAUUUUACUGCACCAGAAAGGUGAACAAAAUUUAUGCUGCAAGACUGGCAAGAUGCACACCAAUUAGACAACAAGCUAAUUCUUUCAAAAACAGGUAAAAAAGCUUGCCUUUCAGGUAGGUAUUAAAGGCCUUUGCCACAUGAUCUUUGUGGGUAAAUCGUGUCCACUCAAUUUAUUAAGUUAAUUUGCACCUAAACAUUUACAAUGCCUGACACAAUGGCAUUACAAUAAUCUAUUUUUUUUGUUUUGCGUUACUGAGUGCAAAGGCCUUUAUUUACACAGUAACGCAUGCCAAGACUGCCGUCAUGGCAUGUGUCACUGUCUCUCCGUCUGUCUGUCCUGUGUGUCGGAUUUAGUCCCUUUUAUUAAUCUCAACUUAAAUCGAUGAUUUUAAAGUUGAUUAGUCUUGAGGCAUCUGAUUUCUGCAGGAAAUUCUGGUACCUUAUUUUGAAAUGGCUUUAAUUUAAAAAUAAAAUUUUGAUCUUGAAUCUCAGUUAUCAUAGUUGCAGCUUGGGCUGUUGACAAACGUGGAAGCUGAUGAAUCAUGUAGUAAAUGCAUCAGUUUACUGUAGCUUGUCUAAAAUUCUUUGUGCUGUAAGAUGUAGUAUUUGAUUUUGAAGAGCUAUACCAGGUCUUCCUUUAUUCUCAACUGGUAAUUGCUUUGAUAAGAUAACUGGUUCCUGAUUUGAUUAUGAAGCUAAACUUUUGAUUUCUAUGCAAGUGUAGUCACAUUAGAUUGUAGGUGUUAUUCAGCCCAUGGAUAAUGUUAUGAUAUACUUUAAAUCUGGCAUUUGUUGGCACACUUUUGAUAUCCAUUUAAGUCUUAAACUUUACACACUGCCAUCAGCCUUUGUAGUCGCUAACUGAAAUCGAAUUCAAUAUUAAUGCUGACUUGUCUCACUCUGCCAAGUUUAUUUCCCUCUAAAGGAGUUGAACCUUUUUGUGUUCAUAGUCUUUUUGCGCGUCAUGUUGGGAGGCCUCCCAGCAGGGGAUUUUAUCUUCCCCUGCAAAACUAUGCGUUACCCGCAUUAGGGAUGCAGGGCUAUCCUGCAUAGUUUCUUUCAUAAAUUAGAUUGUAGGUUGCUGGAUUAGAGCGCGUUUCUUUUCUUUAGGAGGACACAAAUCUGGCAGAGAGACAACUCGGAUUAUUUAAGUGAAAGUUAGGCCAAAUGUUUAAACUUUUUAUUUUUCGAUACGAUGACUUGAAAUAAAACUUUUAUUCUGUGGGCUGAAUUCAGACAGAAAUCAGACAGUUGUGCAAGUACCCUCAGGAGUAUCAGGAGUGAGCAGCUGCAGCUUUUUAAUUUAUUUUUCGUUAUUUGGUUUGUUUCUUGGAUUGACUUGGUGUCUGGAGCUUUGUGGUUAACAGUGAUCAUGUAAACGUGUAAACACAAGUGGUCUUUUGCCUCUUAUUUGCGAAGCUGGCAGCUGGUUGAAAUGAUAGGACUUUAUGGCUUGCCCAAAGUGGGAUUUUUGAUAGAUCAUUGGGUUAACACCUCACCAUACACUAGCUAUUUCAGUGAUCAAGUGUCUGUUGUCCGUGGUAGCGAACAAGUGUCUGUCGUCCGUUAUUAACCAUGACUUUCUUUCAAAUUUCACAAUUUAGGCAGCUUGUAGAGUCAUUAGCUAGAUGCUUAAUCCCAAUGUCUUGGUUGGUUGCAUGAGAAACUGCUAUCUCUUCGAUGUGUUGGCGAAGUUCCUCCUCUGAUUUUUGUAGACUUGCCCUAAAGUUUCUUUCCGCUUUAACUCUUGCUGAGCUAUGCAUUAAAUGAUUCCUCCACCUUGUCUCCAUAUCAAAUUUUCUCUCCCUGCAGCCUUCCACCACCCACUGCUGCUGUUGCAUAUGCUAAAGGUAGCCGUAUCCUGAUUCACUGCGUCUUCAUGUGUUGGGUAAGAAGUGUCAUUAGACUACUAACAAUGUAAACACCUUUUAAAUGCUUGAUCUAAUUUACCCAAAUGGUUCAUCAGUUUAGGACAGAAAAUAAUUGAAUUUGACAUUGUUGGGGUCAGUAACCUGACCUCUAAAUGUUUGGGAAACCAUGCAAAAGAUCGCAAGCUUUCUGCAUGACCCAACAGCAUCUAUGUUUGAGUUAUUUAAUUGCUCAAUUUUUAAAUCAGUCAAGAUUUUAUGAGCUGGGUCUUCUUCACACAACAGAGAACAAGGUUAAUUGAGUCGACUCGUAACAUGGUAAGGCAUUUCGUCUUUCCCCUUCUUCUCUGUGUGUGUGAGGAAAUCUGGCCACGGAUCCUGAUUGAGUGGCAUACCAUGGCUGUGCAGUUUCCAAAAUCAGACAAGGAUCCAUCUGAUUUUGUGACUCGGCUUGUCAUGAUAUGCAUGUAUCUUCCUCCGAAACAAAGGAUUGGAAUGGUCAGGUUUGUAGUGUAAAUCACAUCACAUCACUUGUAGAUGGUGAAGCAUUUGUUUAAAUUGGGAUCAAGCAUUUUCAGGUGUCUGCUUUGUCAAUACUCUGGUGCCACGUCUUGCUAGACACAUAAGAAGCUCUGAAUUGUGAAA